AACACCAAUCCUGAUCUUCCCCCCCAUAGUGAUGAGUGAGAGAAGUAAAUGUCCAGGUGAAUGUCAGUGAGCAGCAGCCGGGCCUCAGGAGGUUACCAUGACAACCCAGCCUGCACAGUGCAUGAGACGGCAGUUACUGGUAGACGGAGGAGGCCGAGCGCUGAGGAGUCUGAGGGCUGCAAACAACACAACUUCACUAUAGGAAAAAAUGGCAGAAGCAAACUCAGACAAUAAAAACUACGAAGGUGUUUCGAAGACAUUGAAAGAUCUGAACAAGGAUCUGGAAAGAAUGCUAGAGCAAAUGGAAAAGAUAUCAGGUA